GAUGAACGCUGGCGGCGUGCCCAAUACAUGCAAGUCGAGCGAACGGACGAGAAGCUUGCUUUUCUGAUGUUAGCGGCGGACGGGUGAGUAACACGUGGAUAACCUACCUAUAAGACUGGGAUAACUUCGGGAAACCGGAGCUAAUACCGGAUAAUAUUUUGAACCGCAUGGUUCAAAGUGAAAGACGGUCUUGCUGUCACUUAUAGAUGAAUCCGCGCUGCAUUAGCUAGUUGGUAAGGUAACGGCUUACCAAGGCAACGAUGCAUAGCCGACCUGAGAGGGUGAUCGGCCACACUGGAACUGAGACACGGUCCAGACUCCUACGGGAGGCAGCAGUAGGGAAUCUUCCGCAAUGGGCGAAAGCCUGACGGAGCAACGCCGCGUGAGUGAUGAAGGUCUUCGGAUCGUAAAACUCUGUUAUUAGGGAAGAACAUAUGUGUAAGUAACUGUGCACAUCUUGACGGUACCUAAUCAGAAAGCCACGGCUAACUACGUG
rnacentral:rRNA from 1 species